CUGACCCAUGCGCCCCCCGACCUCGGCCGGGCCCUCCAGUCCGACGUGCGCCUUGAUUCUGGGUCUUGUUAAAUACUCAUUAGGACCUUGCGCCUUUCUCCAGCAGGCCCGCUCGGCGACAGCGAGGCGGGAGUCAAACACUCCCUGGCGGCCGGCCGAGACCCGCGCCGGGGAGCGCCCAGCUGUAACGUGGACGCCCAUGGGCGCCAGGCCAGGGCCCUCUCCUGCCUCGCCAAGUCCGGGUCCACGUGGGGACGCCCCUAGUGCCUCCCGGCCGAGAGUGAGGACCAGGGAGCGCCCUGAGAGCACACGACUGCGUGGCCCCCGCAGCGAGAUGGGCGCGCCUUGGCGGAAGGAGCCGCGUUGAGCCUGCCGAGGGAGAAGGCACGGAGAGACUCCAGGAAAACCCGGGGAGGAAAAGGCCAGGAGCGAGGGAGGCGGGCGGUCAGAUGCUCAGGGCAGUGCCCUCAUGGCGGACAAUGCAAAGCGAGUGCCCCGGACGGAGGGCGGGCUUGGCUUCCCGGAACGCGGCCUGGGGGCGAAGUGCGGGGCCGCCCAGAGCUUUCCUAACCGGCCUGAGUUUCCCAAGAUCGAGGGGUCGAGAAAUAGACCGCAGUGACCCGGCGUGGAGUGCAGCGAUGUGGCCAUCCGUUUCCCCGGGGUCGGAGGAAGUGAAUUACAUGCGUGUGCACACACACUGCAGUGCUCAGGCUGGCGGACUAAAAAGACACCUUCUGAGAACUGGCGUCCAUGCCGUCUGAAUCACAAUGGCUCAAAUUAAGAGGAUGAAACUGCCAGAUCCUGACGUCGUUUAAUUAAAGCUACCCUCAUUAGGGACACGAGAGGAAAGUGGAGCCCUUUUAAAGCGACUUCAAUGAUGGCUGCCAAGUAGAGAUUUAUCCUGACUUUUCUAAGUUAAUCACACUCUGGGUUUCUCGAGCCGCUUUCAUCCAGGAUUCUGCACUUGAGUUACUUGCAACCUCCCCCUGAGUCAGGUGCUAUCGACUGUGCUAGAGCAAAGAAGGAGGCAAAGCCUGGGGGACAGAACUCUGUAUUGAAAGGGCACACGUCGGGGUAGAUUUUGAUACAGGAACUAAGUCCGGAGGGGAAGUGCUCUGCUACCUUCUGCAAGCCAAAGGCAGCGCUGGAUCUGGUGGUGGUGAUCCUGCUGGUAACCACCCUCCUCCCACCUCUCAGCUCCGCCUUUGCUCAUGCCCUGUUGUCAGGAGGGCCCUGAACAUGUGUGGCCCAGAGACCUGGCCUCUCUGUGCUUUCAAUGGACCAGUGUCCCAGCUGGAGAAGUGAGAGCGUUCUCCUAUCACAUUGGCAACAGACAACCUACCUCCAUCAGCCGCCUCUCCACCACCGGGGACCCGGCACAGAGACUGGUGCUGAGUCAGUGCGAUUGUCAAACGAAAGGUGAAUGGAAGGGCCUUCUUGCCCCUGCACUGGGAGGCUGCAGCCCAUCUCCUUAUGCCAGACUCUUACCCUUUUGUCAGCUUCUUUAGUGGUCAAGAGAGUGUCUCCAACUGCUCCAGUGGAAUUAAUUCCCCUUCAGGGACCCUUCAUUAAAUACUAAGAUCUCUGUUGCAAUGUUGAUGAUAGUCUACUUUCCAGCUAGCUAUUUGCAGAAGUGUGAAUGUAUCAGUUUGGGUUCGUUCAACUGUAAACAAAAUAAUAUCUGACUAGUCCUGGCUUAAGCAAUAAAAUCUCUGACUAGUCCUGGCUUAAGCAGAAAAGUUGCUCUGUUGUCCCACAUAAGAAGCUGGAGGGGUGCAGUUCACAGUUUGGGGCAGCAGCUCCCUCGUAUCCACAAUGCCCAGGCUCUGUCUUUUUUCCUGCUCUGAUAGGCAUAGCUUGUUGAUGUUGUCUCAUGGCUUCAAUAAGGCUGCCACAGCUCCAAGCGUCACAUCCCUACACAGACACAUUAAAAUAGGGAGAAAGGUAGGCAGAAGAAAAGGGAUUUACUCAUAUCUGAAAGAAUGACUAUUCUCAGGAGGCCCCCAGCAGAGCUGUUCGUAUGUCCCAAGGGCAGAACUAGGUCGAUGGUCAUGCCAGGUGCAAAUUAAGUUGGGGCAUUGAACAAUUUGGCAAAGGAAAUGGGUUGUCCUGAGCAACUUGGUGUUCCCAGCCUUGGCCCAGGCUGCGCACAUUCCUGCCUGUGGUGGUCCGUAGGUCUGCUCACACAUUCUCAACCUGUCCUUCCAGGCAGAUGGUGGGUGGCUCUUCCUCACUCGCUUGAGCCUGGAUGUGGCUGUGGGACUUCGGGAGCAGUGGCCCGUGAGCAGAGGAACACAUAUCACUCCCUAGAGCAGCUUUAAGGGCUGGUGCUUGAUCCAGAUGCUGAGAUGAAGCCUCCACCGACCUGGGGACCUCAGUGAGGAAGGAGAGUGGAGGCCCCGUGUCCUCUUGAUGGGCAUGUUGUACAAACGAGAAAGAAACCUCUGCUGUGAGAGGUCACUGACAUGGUGUCAUCAGCAUUGGUACCAGGGGAAGACACCACAGUCCCCCAAACCCCGGCGUUCACGGUCUGGGCUGCCUGUCGUCUGGGACCGCUCUGCUCACAGUCAGUAUGUCAGAACAUGAAAGCCCACUCGCUGUAGCCCGUUUUUGUUGCCCUUUUGGUUUCUUUUGGAAUUAUCCUCUUGGUGUUAAGAAGUGUAUUUUUGAGAUUGGAAUUUUAAAAAAAGGAAAAUCCCAAGGAAAUGUUCUUUGGGCCAACUUCACUGCUUUCCACAUAUGUGGUAUUUUUUAUUCUUUUUCUUCCAGCUUAAGAUAGAGGAUGUCAAUGAAACUCAUUACUGUUCUGGGAGGAUCUUACAUUUGGGGGCACAACAGACUUUUUGGAUGUUUGGCUUUUCAAGCUGAACUUUGCAGUAACGCGGUUGUAUGAAUUCUGGCGUGAAAUCCAUUUCCAAAUACGGACUAGCAGCACUGAGCUUGCCGUCCGCGUGUGGACGGUGUGUCAGCAGAAACGCCUCCUGGCUCAGGGCAGCCAAGGGUUCAUUGCUGACUGACAGCAGAACUUCGUCCAUCAGUAGAAUGUACUGGAUGAUUCAUCAUUCAUUUAUUUAUUUUGAAAAUUGGCACCUUCCUCCAAAGGUAGUUACAUAGGGAAAAAAAUGUCAUCUGUGAUUUAAACCUUGUUUUGCUUCUAAUUUAGACUUUAUUGGCUUUCUUAAAAUAACAGGUGAUGGUUUGGCAAAUGUUGUGUGUCCAAACAAGGAUCUCUACGUGAGAUUUGAGGGUCUCUGCUUCUCUUAAACAUUCGUUUUCAUCAGUUGCUGAUUUGAGGAUGUUUACUUUCUCUUGGAAGGAGAGGCUGACGGAGCAGAGAGCACAGUCUGACAGCAGGAGGGUGCUGGGAAGUUUUGACAGGGUGGAGGGUACCACUUCUGUGCGAAGCCACACUCCUUCUUGACACCUGUCUUGGGAGGCAAGGCUGUGGCAAGACAGGCUGACGCCUGGGGCGGGAUGUCAAUUGGGCAUCUUCUCCCCUUCAAUUAUCCAGCAGCUGAUAAAAAAUAAAAUAAAAAAGUGUAAAAUUUGACAUGAUUCACUAAGUUAGUCAUCACAGGUUUGCAUAGAAUUCGGUUUCCAAGCCACGGCCCGGCCCCCCCGGGGGGAAGGCAUGAGGCUGUGCACUCCGGGAAGCACAGCAUUGCUCCCAGCCACGGCUCAUUGCAAACUGCAGGAGGAAUCAGACCCCAGGGCUGAAAGGACAGGGACCCACGAGGAGGGAGCUUCUCCCUCCACUUCCCAGAGCUUCCAAAUGUGUGCCUGGCUGCAAGGGGGAAGGUAGUUACUUCUCAAAGUCCGUCAACUCCUGUCAUUGCCUUGUGCAUUUGAUUAUUUUGGAGCAACCAUUAUUUUAAAUAGAUGAGUGUUCCACAGUGUCAGGGUCUAGUCCUUUCUCUCUUGGAACCAAGGAGUUUCCAUGGGACACACUCCAGAGCCGUACACAGCAAAGAAAGGGACAGAAUAUCCGAAGGGAUGCUCACUGGGACUAUCUCACAAGCUGCGCUUCUUCAUGGUGAGAACCACGUCGCGUCUGCAAUCUAAGGAAGCGGACGUCACUCAGUGGGCCUGGCUCCCAUCUGCCUUAACUAG
ensembl:lncRNA